rnacentral:rRNA from 1 species
GUGGGGAAUAUUGGACAAUGGUCGGAAGACUGACCCAGCCAUGCCGCGUGCAGGAAGACGGCCCUCUGGGUUGUAAACUGCUUUUAUCUGGGAAGAAAAAGGCCAUGCGUGGCAAAUUGCCGGUACCAGAUGAAUAAGCACCGGCUAACUCCGUGCCAGCAGCCGCGGUAAUACGGAGGGUGCGAGCGUUGUCCGGAUUUAUUGGGUUUAAAGGGUGCGUAGGCGGCUGAUUAAGUCAGGGGUGAAAGACUUCGGCUUAACCGGAGCAGUGCCGUUGAUACUGGUUGGCUUGAGUGUCGGAGGGGUACAUGGAAUUGAUGGUGUAGCGGUGAAAUGCAUAGAUACCAUCAGGAACACCGAUAGCGAAGGCAUUGUACUGGCCGACAACUGACGCUGAUGCACGAAAGUGUGGGGAUCGAACAGGAUUAGAAACCCUUGUAGUCC